rnacentral:rRNA from 1 species
GAGGCAGCAGUAGGGAAUCUUCCGCAAUGGACGAAAGUCUGACGGAGCAACGCCGCGUGAGUGAUGAAGGUUUUCGGAUCGUAAAGCUCUGUUGUUAGGGAAGAACAAGUGCGAGAGUAACUGCUCGCACCUUGACGGUACCUAACCAGAAAGCCACGGCUAACUACGUGCCAGCAGCCGCGGUAAUACGUAGGUGGCAAGCGUUGUCCGGAAUUAUUGGGCGUAAAGGGCUCGCAGGCGGUUUCUUAAGUCUGAUGUGAAAGCCCCCGGCUCAACCGGGGAGGGUCAUUGGAAACUGGGAAACUUGAGUGCAGAAGAGGAGAGUGGAAUUCCACGUGUAGCGGUGAAAUGCGUAGAGAUGUGGAGGAACACCAGUGGCGAAGGCGACUCUCUGGUCUGUAACUGACGCUGAGGAGCGAAAGCGUGGGGAGCGAACAGGAUUAGAUACCCUGGUAGUCCACGCCGUAAACGAUGAGUGCUAAGUGUUAGGGGGUUUCCGCCCCUUAGUGCUGCAGCUAACGCAUUAAGCACUCCGCCUGGGGAGUACGGUCGCAAGACUGAAACUCAAAGGAAUUGACGGGGGCCCGCACAAGCGGUGGAGCAUGUGGUUUAAUUCGAAGCAACGCGAAGAACCUUACCAGGUCUUGACAUCCUCUGACAACCCUAGAGAUAGGGCUUCCCUCGGG